AUUGAGCCCUGGCAGAGAUGAGGAUUCUGGAUUAUGAGAAGAUAAUUACCCAUUAUGAUUUGGAUUCUACUGAACAUUCUAAUUCAGAGUCGACAGGUGCAGCGGAAGUCCACGAUCACAUCCUGGCACAUCCAAGUAUAAAACUGAGUAGGACCAGAGGAAUGACUGUGUGACUCAAAAGAGUUUGCCCAAAUGGUCUUCAUCACUCUUCAUCACUUCAUCACUCUCAAUGGAAACGACAGCAACUCUCAUCUCGUAUCUGUGGUUAUGUGAGAACUUCAAGCCAAGGAACAUCCCGAUGUUUAUCAUAUUUGAGUAGAAUUUCCUACUGAGGAAGGAAUACGGUGACCGAUUAACUAAGAAAAUGAACCCAAGGCCUCCUGCACACCAGUCAGGAGCUCUGUUGCCAACCUGCCCUUCAAUCCCACAACUCUAACUUUAAAGGUGGCUCUGGAGGAGUGCGUCUUUUUUAGCGUUGUCUGGGGUGAAAUAAAGACUUAAAGGUGUACUUGCUCUCCUGCAAAUGUUUUCUUCUGGCUUAAUCCAAUGGUCAGUUAUCAAUAAACGACUGAAACAGACAAGGGUACCAUACUGGCACACGUUUGAUCAGCAUUUGGGGUCCAGCGUGACUGAGUUGACUUUUUAAAAAUAAGAAUCCAAACUAAUGACACAUAUAAACCAGUUUAUUAGAUUGUCAGUGAUACUUUGAGACAAAUUCAAGUUAUUUUAUUUUACUUCAUAUAAACAGAGGAAGGAGGGAAC
ensembl:lncRNA